GACGAACGCUGGCGGCGUGCUUAACACAUGCAAGUCGAACGGAAAGGCCUGCUUUCCCUUGUGGAUUGCGGGUACUCGAGUGGCGAACGGGUUAGUAACACGUGAGUGAUCUGCCCCCAACUUGGGUAUAAGCCUGGGAAACUGGGUCUAAUUCCCGAUAGGACUGCAGGGUGGUGCCUGUGGUGGAACACGAUUUUCUAGUGGUUGGGGAUGAGCUCGCGGCCUAUCAGCUUGUUGGUGGGGUAAUGGCCUACCAAGGCGGCGACGGGUAGCCGGCCUGAGAGGGUGGACGGCGACAUUGGGACUGAGAUACGGCCCAGACUCCUACGGGAGGCAGCAGUGCGGAAUAUUGGACAAUGGGCGGAAGCCUGAAGCAGCGACGCCGCGUGGAGGAUGACGGGCUUCGGGUUGUAAGCUCCUUUCGACCGCGAGGAAGCCACCUGGUUGGAAGGGUGGUGACGGUAGUGGUAGAAGAAGCACCGGCUAACUACGUG
rnacentral:rRNA from 1 species